rnacentral:misc_RNA from 1 species
AGGAAAAUAUCAUCUUCAGUUGUGAAAGACUUAAAAAAGUUUUUUAUUUUUUAAGAUAAAAAUAAAUAAUGGUUCGGGGCCUAUAGCUCAGUUGGUUAGA